rnacentral:rRNA from 1 species
GACGAACGCUGGCGGCGUGCCUAAUACAUGCAAGUCGUGCGGACCUUUUAAAAGCUUGCUUUUAAAAGGUUAGCGGCGGACGGGUGAGUAACACGUGGGCAACCUGCCUGUAAGACUGGGAUAACGCCGGGAAACCGGGGCUAAUACCAGAUCGUUUUUUCCUCCGCAUGGAGGAAAAAGGAAAGGCGGCUUCGGCUGCCACUUACAGAUGGGCCCGCGGCGCAUUAGCUAGUUGGCGGGGUAACGGCCCACCAAGGCAACGAUGCGUAGCCGACCUGAGAUGGUGAUCGGCCACAUUGGGACUGAGACACGGCCCAAACUCCUACGGGGAGCAGCAGUAGGGAAUCUUCCGCAAUGGACGAAAGUCUGACGGAGCAACGCCGCGUGAGUGAAGAAGGCCUUCGGGUCGUAAAACUCUGUUGCCGGGGAAGAACAAGUGCCGUUCGAACAGGGCGGCGCCUUGACGGUACCCGGCCAGAAAGCCACGGCUAACUACGUG